UACGUAGGGUGCGAGCGUUGUCCGGAUUUAUUGGGCGUAAAGAGCGUGUAGGCGGCCUGAAAGGUCAGCUGUGAAAACUCGAGGCUCAACCUCGAGACGUCGGUUGAAACCAUCUGGCUAGAGUCCGGAAGAGGAGUGUGGAAUUCCCGGUGUAGCGGUGAGAUGCGCAGAUAUCGGGAAGAACACCCGUGGCGAAGGCGGCACUCUGGGACGGUACUGACGCUGAGACGCGAAAGCGUGGGGAGCGAACAGG
rnacentral:rRNA from 1 species